rnacentral:rRNA from 1 species
GGGCCCGCACAAGCAGUGGAGCAUGUGGUUUAAUUCGAUGCAACGCGAAGAACCUUACCAGGCCUUGACAUCCUCGGAACUUUCUAGAGAUAGAUUGGUGCCUUCGGGAACCGAGUGACAGGUGCUGCAUGGCUGUCGUCAGCUCGUGUCGUGAGAUGUUGGGUUAAGUCCCGUAACGAGCGCAACCCUUACCCUUAUUUGCCAGCGAUUCGGUCGGGAACUAUAAGGGGACUGCCGGUGAUAAACCGGAGGAAGGUGAGGACGACGUCAAGUCAUCAUGGCCCUUACGGCCUGGGCUACACACGUGCUACAAUGGCUAGGACAGACGGCCGCAAACCCGCGAGGGGAGCCAAUCCGACAAACCUAGUCGUAGUCCGGAUCGGAGUCUGCAACUCGACUCCGUGAAGUCGGAAUU